UACGUAGGGGGCUAGCGUUGUCCGGAAUCAUUGGGCGUAAAGAGCGUGUAGGCGGCCCGGUAAGUCCGCUGUGAAAGUCAAAGGCUCAACCUUUGAAAGCCGGUGGAUACUGCAUGGCUAGAGUACGGAAGAGGCGAGUGGAAUUCCUGGUGUAGCGGUGGAAUGCGCAGAUAUCAGGAGGAACACCAAUAGCGAAGGCAGCUCGCUGGGACGUUACUGACACUGAGGCGCGAAAGCGUGGGGAGCGAACAGG
rnacentral:rRNA from 1 species